rnacentral:rRNA from 1 species
GCAAAACGCGAAGAACCUUACCUGGCCUUGACAUGCCACUAACGAAGCAGAGAUGCAUUAGGUGCUCGAAAGAGAAAGUGGACACAGGUGCUGCAUGGCUGUCGUCAGCUCGUGUCGUGAGAUGUUGGGUUAAGUCCCGCAACGAGCGCAACCCUUGCCAAUAAUUGCCAUCAUUCAGUUGGGCACUUUAUUGGGACUGCCGGUGACAAACCGGAGGAAGGUGGGGAUGACGUCAAGUCCUCAUGGCCCUUAUGGCCAGGGCUUCACACGUAAUACAAUGGUCGGUACAGAGGGUAGCCAACCCGCGAGGGGGAGCCAAUCUCAGAAAGCCGAUCGUAGUCCGGAUUGCAGUCUGCAACUCGACUGCAUGAAGUCGGAAUCGCUAGUAAUCGCGGAUCAGCAUGUCGCGGUGAACACGUUCCCGGGUCUUGUACACACCG